rnacentral:rRNA from 1 species
AUUGAACGCUGGCGGCAUGCCUUACACAUGCAAGUCGAACGGUAACAGGUCUUCGGAUGCUGACGAGUGGCGAACGGGUGAGUAAUACAUCGGAACGUGCCUAGUAGUGGGGGAUAACUACUCGAAAGAGUGGCUAAUACCGCAUGAGAUCUACGGAUGAAAGCAGGGGAUCGCAAGACCUUGUGCUACUAGAGCGGCCGAUGGCAGAUUAGGUAGUUGGUGGGAUAAAAGCUUACCAAGCCGACGAUCUGUAGCUGGUCUGAGAGGACGAUCAGGCAGACUGGGACUGAGACACGGCGCAGACUCCUACGGGAAGCAGCAGUGGGGAAUUUUGCACAAUGGGCGCAAGCCUGAUCCAGCAAUGCGGCGUGCAGGAUGAAGGCCUUCGGGUUGUAAGCUGCUUUUGUACGGAGCGAAAAGGCUUCCACUAAUACUGGGGGCUAAUGACGGUACCGUAAGAAUAAGCACCGGCUAACUACGUGCCAGCAGCCGCAGUAACAC